ensembl:lncRNA
AUGGAUUUGAACUGGACAUUGCUGGAAAGCCAGAAUGAACUAAAUCCGAACGAAAUGGACAGUAUCAACAAUCUGGCCAUCAGUUGGGACCUGCCAGCAGUCAGCAACAUCAACAGAAGAUGGUUGGCAGAAACCAUUCUCUACCAUGGGGUAGGUAUUAUCUUAUUUAAUGGUGAAAGCUGUAAACUGCAGCUGGAUAUUCUACUUGCACUGUCUCUAACACCACAAAAAAAAAAAAAAAAAAUCUUGGCUUCUAUGGCAUUUGUCCUUUUAGUGUGGUUUAUUGUUAAUUUCUAGGUUAUUGGUCGACGUGAAAAACAGAUCGCACAGCUGCGGAGAGGACUCAAAGACACUGGUGUUUUGAGAAUGAUAAAAGAACAAACCAGUUUAGCUGCAGUACUGUUUCCCAGAUCUUCUGAACUAGUACUGGAACCAGAGGUCUUUUCUACUUUGAUACUUGCAGUGAACAAACAGUUUAUUAAUGGUUUCUGAUAAAACUCUAGGUAGUUGAAUGAAUUACUGAAUAAAUUUGGCUGCCCUGUGUUUAGCUUGUAUUAA